rnacentral:rRNA from 1 species
AGAGUUUGAUCCUGGCUCAGAGCGAACGCUGGCGGCAGGCUUAACACAUGCAAGUCGAGCGGGCGUAGCAAUACGUCAGCGGCAGACGGGUGAGUAACGCGUGGGAACGUACCCUUUGGUUCGGAACAACACAGGGAAACUUGUGCUAAUACCGGAUAAGCCCUUACGGGGAAAGAUUUAUCGCCGAAAGAUCGGCCCGCGUCUGAUUAGCUAGUUGGCGGGGUAAUGGCCCACCAAGGCGAAGAUCGGUAGCCGGCCUGAGAGGGCGCACGGCCACACUGGAACUGAAACACGGUCCAGACUCCUACGGGAGGCAGCAGUGGGGAAUUUUGCGCAAUGGGGGAAACCCUGACGCAGCAACGCCGCGUGGAGGAUGAAGCCCCUUGGGGUGUAAACUCCUUUCGACCAAGACGAUAAUGACGGUACUGGUGGAAGAAGCACCGGCUAACUCUGUGCCAGCAGCCGCGGUAAUACAGAGGGUGCGAGCGUUGUUCGGAAUUAUUGGGCGUAAAGGGCGCGUAGGCGGCGCAGCAAGUCACCUGUGAAAUCUCUGGGCUUAACUCAGAGCCUGCAGGCGAAACUGCUGUGCUGGAGUAUGGGAGAGGUGCGUGGAAUUCCCGGUGUAGCGGUGAAAUGCGUAGAUAUCGGGAGGAACACCUGUGGCGAAAGCGGCGCACUGGACCAUAACUGACGCUGAGGCGCGAAAGCUAGGGGAGCAAACAGGAUUAGAUACCCUGGUAGUCCUAGCCCUAAACGAUGAUUGCUUGGUGUAGCCGGUACCCAAUCCGGCUGUGCCGCAGCUAACGCGAUAAGCAAUCCGCCUGGGGGAGUACGGUCGCAAGGCUGAAACUCAAAGAAUUGACGGGGUCCCGCACAAGCGGUGGAGCAUGUGUUUCAAUUCGACCGCAACGCGAAGAACCUUAACUUGGCUUCGAAGGCAGUGGACCGGGUAGAAAAAUCCCUUCCCUAAAGCCUGCUGCGAGGUGCUGCCAUGGCUGUCGUCAGCCCUGUCUGGGAAGUUGGGUUAAGUUCCGAACAGCGCACCUUAUCCCUAGUGUCAUGGGUCAGCGGCCUCAUGUAAACGCUCGAUAACGAAGAGAGUGGGAUACCUAGCUCAUGGCUUAUGUCCA